rnacentral:snoRNA from 1 species
UUUUAUGUGAUGCAGUUAAGAUGGGGACAUUUGAUGCCUGUGAUUUAAUCCCUCGAUAGUAGAUCUGAUUUU